GGCCAGGCUGGUCUCGAACUCCUGGCCUCAAGUGGUCCUCCCGUCUCCCAAAGUGCUGGGAUUACAGGUGUGAACCAUCGUGCUCUGCCAAUAAUUGUCUAUAUUUAUGCAGUAUAAUGUGAUGUUCUGAUCUAUGUAUACAUAAAAAUUAAAUGUAUCUAGUACAAGGUUGAAAAAGUUCUGUUGUAUUUUAACAACCUAGAUUUUCAAUUCACUCAUGCAAAACUGCACUGGAUUCAUCAUGCAACAUACUAAAUAAAGGCCUAUGUUCAAGGUCAGGAAUCACACUUCCCUAAUAGGCCAGUAUUUUACAUAAGUUGCUUGUUACAUGCAGUUAGGUUUCAGAAGACGUGAAAUCUAAACAUAUACGUUCAUAAACUGCUAUGACAGAAUUCUGCUUAUUCUGUGUGUGUGUGUGUGUGUGUUGCUAUGAAGUUAGUAAAGGUACAACUUUCAUUUGAAUUUACAUUUAUGUUCUGGAUUGCAUACACAUAUUCAUCGCUAAGUUUUGUCGCUUUCUUGAACUUAAGUGCUUUUCCUUGAAGAUGCCUUAGAUUUGUGGACCCUAACUGGUUAGUUCAUGGUGUUCUUUGAAAAUCUGAUGAACACACUGAAUACUUUCCCUCCUCCCUAAAAUGUUACAUAUAUAGUAGUUCCCCCUUAUCCGCAGUUUCAGUUACUUAUGGUCAACUGUGAUCCAAAAA